UACGUAGGUGGCAAGCGUUGUCCGGAUUUAUUGGGCUUAAAGGGUGCGUAGGUGGUCUAUUAAGUCAGUGCUGAAAUAUCCCGGCUUAACCGGGAGGGUGGCAUUGAUACUGAUGGACUUGAGUAAAGUUGAGGUGGGCGGAAUUGACGGUGUAGCGGUGAAAUGCUUAGAUAUCGCCAAGAACACCUAUUGCGAAGGCAGCUCACUAAGCUUUAACUGACACUGAGGCACGAAAGUGUGGGGAUCAAACAGG
rnacentral:rRNA from 1 species